rnacentral:rRNA from 1 species
CAGUAGCCGCGGUAAUACGGAGGGAGCUAGCGUUAUUCGGAAUUACUGGGCGUAAAGCGCACGUAGGCGGCUUUGUAAGUUAGAGGUGAAAGCCUGGAGCUCAGCUCCAGAAUUGCCUUUAAGACUGCAUCGCUUGAAUCCAGGAGAGGUGAGUGGAAUUCCGAGUGUAGAGGUGAAAUUCGUAGAUAUUCGGAAGAACACCAGUGGCGAAGGCGGCUCACUGGACUGGUAUUGACGCUGAGGUGCGAAAGCGUGGGGAGCAAACAGGAUUAGAUACCCCGGUAGUCCCUGUCUCUUAUAC